rnacentral:lncRNA from 1 species
GGGUUGUCGUUUUGCCGGAAGAUUUCUAUGCCAGAGACGAGGAGGAUUUCGGCUUUCAAUUGUCGGAAAGUUGAUACCGAUUUCAAUUGCCAUACCAAUCGUCUUCGUCCGCCAGAGAGACUCGAGAGAGAGAAGAAGAGAAGAAGAGAAUACGAGGAGACCCCAAAAAAAUGCGACCUACACUAACCGCGAACCAAUCAUCGAUUGCCACGUGGUCUAAAGGAUGAGCAUAAAU